rnacentral:rRNA from 1 species
UACGUAGGUGGCAAGCGUUGUCCGGAUUUACUGGGCGUAAAGAGCGCGCAGGCGGUCGUUCAAGUCGCGUGUGAAAGCCCCCGGCUCAACUGGGGAGGGUCACGCGAUACUGAUCGACUGGAAGGCAGGAGAGGGUAGUGGAAUUCCCGGUGUAGUGGUGAAAUGCGUAGAUAUCGGGAGGAACACCAGUGGCGAAGGCGGGUAGCUGGGCCGACACUGACGCUGAGGCGCGAAAGCCAGGGGAGCGAACGGG